rnacentral:rRNA from 1 species
AGCGAACGCUGGCGGCAGGCCUAACACAUGCAAGUCGAACGAACUCUUCGGAGUUAGUGGCGGACGGGUGAGUAACACGUGGGAACGUGCCUUUUGGUUCGGAAUAACUCAGGGAAACUUGUGCUAAUACCGAAUGUGCCCUUCGGGGGAAAGAUUUAUCGCCAUUAGAGCGGCCCGCGUCUGAUUAGCUAGUUGGUGAGGUAACGGCUCACCAAGGCGACGAUCAGUAACUGGUCUGAGAGGAUGACCAGCCACACUGGGACUGAGACACGGCCCAGACUCCUACGGGAGGCAGCAGUGGGGAAUCUUGCGCAAUGGGCGAAAGCCUGACGCAGCCAUGCCGCGUGAAUGAUGAAGGUCUUAGGAUUGUAAAAUUCUUUCACCGGGGACGAUAAUGACGGUACCCGGAGAAGAAGCCCCGGCUAACUUCGUG